GCCCUUUAUUGCGAUCAGCAUCCACAUAUCAGAGAGAACAUUUGGCCUUUGGUUUCUCUUUUAAUUUUGAGAUGGUCUAGCUUGGUUACUGGGGUUGGCCUCAGACUUGGAAAUCUCCUACCUCAGCCUCCCAAGUCACAGGGUUUACAGGCAUGAGCCGUCACCUGACUCAACACUUGGUUUUAACGGACUUUUUGACUUUUUCCCAUCGAGUGGGUGUAAAAUAGUUUAAUCUACAUUCCUCUGUUGAAUUUUUUUUUUUUUUUUUGGUCAAGAUCCAUUGGCUACUGGUUUAUCUCCUCUACAAAUUGCCUCUUCUGUAUCUUUUCCUUAUUGAUUUCUCAGAGCUCUUUAUACAUUCUAGAUACACAUCCUUUGCCAGGAACAUCCCAUGAUUUUCACCCAAUUGUCUUUUACUUUACUCACAGCAUGUUCUGUUGUACCAAAAUUUGAAAACUGGAUGUAACCCAGUUUACCAAUCUUUCCUUUAUGGUUUGAACAUUCUUGUUUAAGAUUUUUUUUGGGCGGGCUGGGUUUGUGGCUCAGUGGUAGAGUGUUCUUCUAGCACACGUGAGGCACUAGGUUCGAUCCUCAGCACCACAUAAAAAUGAAAUAAAGAUAUUUAAAAAAAAGAUUUUUUUUUUGGUGUGUGGUACUGAAAAUUGAACCCUAGGGUACUUUACCACCAAGUUCCAUCCCAAACCCUUUUUAUUUUUUGAGACAAGUUCUUGAUCCGUUGCUGGG
rnacentral:lncRNA from 1 species